AACGCUAGCUACAGGCUUAACACAUGCAAGUCGAGGGGAAACGAUAUUGGAAGCUUGCUUCCGAUAGGCGUCGACCGGCGCACGGGUGAGUAACGCGUAUCCAACCUGCCCAUCACUUGGGAAUAACCUUGCGAAAGUAAGACUAAUGCCCAAUGAUAUUUAUAGAAGGCAUCGGAAAUGAAUUAAAGAUUUAUCGGUGAUGGAUGGGGAUGCGUCUGAUUAGCUUGUUGGCGGGGUAACGGCCCACCAAGGCGACGAUCAGUAGGGGUUCUGAGAGGAAGGUCCCCCACAUUGGAACUGAGACACGGUCCAAACUCCUACGGGAGGCAGCAGUGAGGAAUAUUGGUCAAUGGGCGAGAGCCUGAACCAGCCAAGUAGCGUGCAGGAUGACGGCCCUAUGGGUUGUAAACUGCUUUUAUAGGGGAAUAAAGUGAGCCACGUGUGGUUUUUUGCAUGUACCCUAUGAAUAAGGACCGGCUAAUUCCGUGCCAGCAGCCGCGGUAAUACGGAAGGUCCGGGCGUUAUCCGGAUUUAUUGGGUUUAAAGGGAGCGUAGGCCGGAGAUUAAGCGUGUUGUGAAAUGUAGAUGCUCAACAUCUGAACUGCAGCGCGAACUGGUUUCCUUGAGUACGCAUAAAGUGGGCGGAAUUCGUGGUGUAGCGGUGAAAUGCUUAGAUAUCACGAAGAACUCCGAUUG
rnacentral:rRNA from 1 species